rnacentral:rRNA from 1 species
ACGCUAGCGGGAGGCCUAACACAUGCAAGCCGAGCGGUAUUGUUUCUUCGGAAAUGAGAGAGCGGCGUACGGGUGCGGAACACGUGUGCAACCUGCCUUUAUCUGGGGGAUAGCCUUUCGAAAGGAAGAUUAAUACCCCAUAAUAUAUUGAUCGGCAUCAAUUGAUAUUGAAAACUCCGGUGGAUAGAGAUGGGCACGCGCAAGAUUAGAUAGUUGGUGAGGUAACGGCUCACCAAGUCAAUGAUCUUUAGGGGGCCUGAGAGGGUGAUCCCCCACACUGGUACUGAGACACGGACCAGACUCCUACGGGAGGCAGCAGUGAGGAAUAUUGGACAAUGGGUGAGAGCCUGAUCCAGCCAUCCCGCGUGAAGGACGACGGCCCUAUGGGUUGUAAACUUCUUUUGUAUAGGGAUAAACCUUUCCACGUGUGGAAAGCUGAAGGUACUAUACGAAUAAGCACCGGCUAACUCCGUGCCAGCAGCCGCGGUAAUACGGAGGGUGCAAGCGUUAUCCGGAUUUAUUGGGUUUAAAGGGUCCGUAGGCGGGCUCGUAAGUCAGUGGUGAAAUCUCAUAGCUUAACUAUGAAGCUGCCAUUGAUACUGCAGGUCUUGAGUAAAGUAGAAGUGGCUGGAAUAAGUAGUGUAGC